rnacentral:sRNA from 1 species
AGGACCCAACCGCGGCGACCAGACGUGCACUCCUCCAGUAGCGGCUGCACGUCGUGCCAAUGGCCCGCUAUGAGGAGGUGAGCGUGUCCGGCUUCGAGGAGUUCCACCGGGCCGUGGAACAGCACAAUGGCAAGACCAUUUUCGCCUACUUUACGGGUUCUAAGGACGCCGGGGGGAAAAGCUGGUGCCCCGAUUGCGUGCAGGGUGAGGCCGGGAUUCGGGGGCUGCUGUCCAAUGGAAAUGGCAGGAAGGUCGAGCCUACGGCCAGAAGGGGGGCUUAGCGGAGGCAGAGUCUUGGUUCCAGACAUCCGCGGAGCAAUCUGAGCUGUCCCCAAGUCUCCUUCUAUUAAAUCCUACCUCGCCCUGCCAAGAGCGCUCUUUCUUUUACCAUCUUACCCGGAUGAUCUUGGAAUCUAGUUCCUUAAAACUUCUCACUCCCCCAGUACCAUUAGUGUCUUACAGGAUACGUGAGUUGGUCAGCAAAUACAUGUGCUUUCCAUUGUUAUGGGCGCGGUGGUGCAGGGGCAAAUCGGGACUGGGAUUUGGUCCUUACCCUUAACGUGGCUCUAAGACCAGAAGGGAACACCUGACUUCUGGUGACCUCUUCAGUUAGCUGCAGGUUAAAGUCUGAGUGCUUACCAAGACUGGGGGAAGGGGGAAAGAACACAGUUUAUACGUGCCUGAUUGUAGAGGUGACGUGCGAUUAUUUUAUCUCAACUUUUUUUUAAAGCUGAACCAGUCGUACGAGAGGGGCUGAAGCACAUUAGUGAAGGAUGUGUGUUCAUCUACUGCCAAGUAGGAGAAAAGCCUUAGUAAGUGGCAAUGUAUAAUCUACCUCGCAGACGUGCACAAAUUGCAUACUUAGGAGGGAAGGGCCUCAGGGACUUACCCAGUUUGUCUUACAAGGUAAUGUCUGACAAGUUAAACUAUUAGAAGCUAUUAAAUACAAAUUUAAAAUGCCCACCUGAAUUAAGUAAGGGUAAUUCAACGAAUUUGGUCUGGUGUAAGCCCAGAACUUAGCUGGCUUUACUUUUAUAUCUUAGUCACACUUUGAAACUUUGCACAGGGUAAUUAGUAGAUUAAGCCAUAGUCCGCAAGGUUUUUUAAGUGUUUGCAAGAACAGUGAUUACUAAAAAAUUAAAUGUAGGACUAUGUCAAAUAUUAAGCAAACUGUAAUAAACCAAGUAAAUUUUUUUCAUGAUCACUUUUUCUUUUGGAAUAGUUGGAAAGAUCCAAAUAAUGACUUCAGAAAAAACUUGAAAGUAACAGCAGUGCCUACACUACUUAAGUAUGGAACAGUAAGUAUCUUUAAAUAUGCUGGGCCUGUAAUCACUGUCAGAACUCUUUUAACUUGCUGUGGAUCCAGAUUUGAAAAGAUCUUGACAUUUCAUCUCAAUUCCAUUGUUGUUCAGAGUGCUGCUGUGAAAGUCCAUUCCUAUGGCCAAUCCCAAUAAACUGAUAAUGUAAAUAUCUAGCUAUUAGGUCUUUUUCAUGUUAAGUCACUCUUAAAAAACCAGAAAGUAGAUUGACUCAUAAUUCCUUAAAACAUUUACAUCAACAGUUGUUUUCUGUUUAAUUCAUAAUUCUGGUUAAAAAGUAAGGGCAUCUCUUCUAGUUCAGUCAUGCCCCUGGGAUCCUAAAUUAAAGAGUUGAGGGGAAGAAGAGGGCACUGGGCUUGCUGUCUCCUGUUUUAGUCUGUGGAGCUUCCUGGUAUUUGGGGUUUAAGUCUCUUGAGCCAAGUAUGUUAGUGAUUCAUCUUACAGCAAAUAUAUUGAUUCUUUCAUAAAACUUGUUAUAACUAGAUGAUAGUUUCUGAAUUGCGUAAUUUCUGUGUUCAAAGAUUAGUGUCAUUCGAGGCAGAACUCAUUCCACUCCUAAUAACGUUUUAUAGAAGCAGUGAAGAUUUGACUGUUCUUCUCUUACAGCCUCAAAAACUGGUAGAAUCUGAGUGUCUUCAGGCCAACCUGGUGGAAAUGUUGUUCUCUGAAGAUUAAGAUUUUAGGAUGGCAAUCAUGUCUUGAUGUCCUGAUUUGUUCUAGUAUCAAUAAACUGUAUACUUGCUUUGAAUUCAUGUUAGCAAUAAAUGAUGUUAAAAAA